rnacentral:rRNA from 1 species
AGAGUUUGAUCCUGGCUCAGAACGAACGUUGGCGGCGUGGAUUAGGCAUGCAAGUCGAACGCGAAUCCCUGGGCAACUGGGGAGGAGAGUGGCGAAAGGGGCAGUAAGGCGUGGGUAACCUACCCUCCGGGCCGGGAUAGCUUCGGGAAACUGAAGGUAAUACCGGGCGACGCAGCGGGAUCGCAUGGUUCUGCUGCCAAAGGUCCGCCGCCGGGGGAGGGGCUCACGUGGUAUUAGCUAGACGGCGGGGUAACGGCCCACCGUGGCGAAGAUGCCUAGCAGGUGUGAGAGCACGACCUGCGCCACUGGCACUGAGACACUGGCCAGACACCUACGGGUGGCUGCAGUCGAGGAUCUUCGGCAAUGGGCGCAAGCCUGACCGAGCGACGCCGCGUGUGCGAUGAAGGCCUUCGGGUUGUAAAGCACUGUCGAGGGGGAGGAAGCCGCAAGGUUGACCUAUCCCUGGAGGAAGCACGGGCUAAGUUCGUGCCAGCAGCCGCGGUAAUAC